rnacentral:snoRNA from 1 species
AAAGUAGUCGAUGAGUCUGCUUAUCUGAAUGCAUUUCUGCAGAAAUUUAGAGAAAACUGCCGAUAGAAAGCCGUAUUAUGAGGACUUGUAGACAUUAAGGACACUACCUCCCCGGCAAUGUCUAUCUCU